UACGUAGGUGGCGAGCGUUGUCCGGAAUCACUGGGCGUAAAGGGCGCGUAGGCGGUCAAUCAAGUCGCAUGUGAAAUACCAGGGCUCAACUCUGGGGGGUCAUGCGAAACUGAAUGACUUGAGUGUAGUAGAGGAAAGCGGAAUUCCUGGUGUAGCGGUAAAAUGCGUAGAGAUCAGGAGGAACACCGGUGGCGAAGGCGGCUUUCUGGGCUAUAACUGACGCUGAGGCGCGAAAGCGUGGGGAGCAAACAGG
rnacentral:rRNA from 1 species